rnacentral:rRNA from 1 species
GCACCUUCGGGUGUGAAUUAGCGGCGAACGGGUGAGGAACACGUGAGAAAUCUGCCUUCAACACUGGGAUAACUCCGGGAAACCGGGGCUAAUACCGGAUAUGAAAUCUGCGGGCAUCCGCGGAUUUGGAAAGUUUUUCGGUUGAAGAUGACCUCGCGGCCUAUCAGCUUGUUGGUGAGGUAAUGGCUCACCAAGGCGACGACGGGUAGCCGGCCUGAGAGGGCGACCGGCCACACUGGGACUGAGACACGGCCCAGACUCCUACGGGAGGCAGCAGUGGGGAAUAUUGGGCAAUGGAGGAAACUCUGACCCAGCGACGCCGCGUGCGGGAUGAAGGCCUUCGGGUUGUAAACCGCUUUCAGCAGGGAAGAAGCGAAAGUGACGGUACCUGCAGAAGAAGCACCGGCUAACUAUGUGCCAGCAGCCGCGGUAAUACAUAGGGUGCAAGCGUUGUCCGGAAUUAUUGGGCGUAAAGAGCUCGUAGGUGGUUCGUCACGUCGGAUGUGAAACUCUGGGGCUUAACCCCAGACCUGCAUUCGAUACGGGCGAGCUUGAGUAUGGUAGGGGAGUCUGGAAUUCCUGGUGUAGCGGUGGAAUGCGCAGAUAUCAGGAGGAACACCAAUGGCGAAGGCAGGACUCUGGGCCAUUACUGACACUGAGGAGCGAAAGCGUGGGGAGCGAACAGGAUUAGAUACCCUGGUAGUCCACGCCGUAAACGGUGGGCACUAGUUGUGGGGACCUUCCACGGUCUCUGCGACGCAGCUAACGCAUU